CAGAGCCACGGUAAUACGGAGGGUGCAAGCGUUAAUCGGAAUUACUGGGCGUAAAGCGCACGCAGGCGGUCUGACAAGUCAGAUGUGAAAUCCCCGGGCUUAACCUGGGAACUGCAUUUGAAACUGUCAGGCUGGAGUCUUGUAGAGGGGGGUGGAAUUCCAGGUGUAGCGGUGAAAUGCGUAGAGAUCUGGAGGAAUACCGGUGGCGAAGGCGGCCCCCUGGACAAAGACUGACGCUCAGGUGCGAAAGCGUGGGGAGCAAACAGGAUUAGAUACCCCGGUAGUCCCUGUCUCUUAUACA
rnacentral:rRNA from 1 species